rnacentral:lncRNA from 1 species
UGGAGAUUAAACCUAAGGUCUCCUACAUGAAGGAAUUUUGCCAAGGAGUUUGUGAUCAGCGAUCGGAAGGAGCUAGAGGAAGACUUCAUCAGGAGCGAGCUGAAGAAGGCUGGAGGAGCCAAUUACGAUGCUCAGUCAGAGUAGCUGCAGCCCCACACCCCAGAGCCAUCUGCCUGCUCCACCGAGGAGGAGACUGCCACCUCACGUCACCAGCCCACCGGGGAGGAGAAGCCAUGAGAGGCACCAGUGCCACCAUUGUGUCCAGCCCCCUCCCUCUCCCCUCUCCCCCUCCCUUCCCUCCUCCCCUCUGUGGCCCCUCUCAGGCUCACAGAGCAUCAUUCUUUGAGACCCCGCCCCCUUUUUGUUUUAAAGGAAAGUCCUUUUGGUGCCAGGGUCACACACAUCAUCAUAUCCCGGGUGCCUCUCUGUCACUAGCCCUUGACCUGGCAUUACCCCUGCCUUCAGUGGCUUGCCUGGUCUAAGCUACCCUGGCCUUGAGUUACCUGGUGCCAUCCCAGCUUACCCUGGCUGUUUCCUGCUAGCCCCAUGCCGGCCACCAUGCCAGGCGCUGUGCACACUCCACAGCCUUCAUGAGCUCACGCAUGCUCCUCAGAACCCGUGGACUUGGCUCCAGGCCCCACCCCUGCCCUGUUCAGAGUGGCCUAAGCUCUAAGUCUGGUAGAUACUGCUUGGCAAUAACAGAUUUAGGUCUGGCGUGGACCGAAUAUGAAGUGACAAAUUUGCCUUAAAUCUUGC